rnacentral:rRNA from 1 species
UACAGAGGUCCCGAGCGUUGUUCGGAUUCACUGGGCGUAAAGGGUGCGUAGGUGGCUUGGAAAGUUUGAUGUGAAAGCUCAGGGCUUAACCCUGAAAUGGCAUUGAAUACUGCCGAGCUGGAGGUUUGGAGGGGGGGACUGGAAUUCUUGGUGUAGCAGUGAAAUGCGUAGAUAUCAAGAGGAACACCAGUGGCGAAGGCGAGUCCCCUGGACAACACCUGACACUGAGGCACGAAAGCUAGGGGGAGCAAACAGG